UUGUGAGUUCGUUUAUAUUUUUUGAAAUUAGGGUUAAAAGGUGCAGCAAAAUUUUGUGGAUCAAUGGACAUGCGAGCUUUUAUAUCACAGCAACCAAAAAACAUUUUCAACAGGCUGGUACUAAAGAAAAAAAUUUGAAGUUUGAACAUCAAGGUGAUGAAUAUUCGACAGAAUUAACUCUAUCUGGCGAUGGUACAUGGAAAAAGCGAGGGUAUGCUUCCUUGUAAGGUGUGACGUCAUUGAUCGGAUACUUUUAUGAUGAUCUAGUUCAGAGCUAUAGUGGUCACCGCAAAACGUCUUUAACAGAAAUACCUAAUAAUGCUGUUGGGUAAUUAACCGGUGAUUUCACAGGAUGUUAGCCUCAAAAUCACCUUUUCAUUCUUGGCUUGGAUGCGCGCAUGUGGUUUCAAAUUCAAUAGGAGAGAUUGUUUAGCCAAGUUGGAACAGCACUAAAGGCUAAAAACAUCAACAAAUUAUUAUUUUUAAACAAAAAAAAGUGGAUUAUUGAGGAAUAAAAUACUCUACCGAAACGUAUUUUAAGUAUACAUUUCUUGAUCUCAUAUUACAUUAGAAAAUUAAUAAAAAAUAUGUACAUUUUUAUAACUCUUCAGCUCUCAGGCAGUUUAUGUAGUAACAUGAAAAUUUGUAUUUAUUAUUUUUUUGUGUUUCCCUUAUUGUUCAUGUAUUGCUUAAAAAUAAAUAAAUUAUUAUUCCAUAAAAAUGAAGUGUAUACGACUAUCGAGAGUUUUGCAGCUCUAGUACUAGGGUCACUAAACAAUUUUUCAGUUAAUAUUAUAUAUCUUCUUCUUGGUUUUCCAUAGAAAUCUCAAGAUCACUUCGAAUGUACCAUGGUUUAAGGAUUUUAGUCUGGAACCUUUGUACUAUAUAAAUACCAUACAUCGAAUUUGGCUUUAUUAACGCGUUGUGUAAUAAAACUUUGUUGUCAAGGCUAAUUUUAAAAUAUAUAUUUAAAAGCCAAUUAAAAUUUGCUUCCCUUACUUUCAUACUAGUUAUUUUGCUUGUAAAAUGUUUUCUCCAUGUGAGCCUUCUGUCUAAGUGACUGCCAAGAUACGCCAUUUGAUAUGAAAUUCAAUAUUUUAGCAGUAAAUUUCCUAUUUUUUAAUAAGACUCCAAUGUUUUCUACGAAUCGUUUUCGUUUUAAAACGAUAUAAAAACGUCUAUGUGGCAUUCUUUAUGGCGUUGUCGUCAUUUAUCGAAAAUAAAUUGGUAUUUCCAUUUUGAAACGAGUAUGAGCAGAGAACGUAUAUCAUACAGAGAACGUAUAUUAUAAUAUACACUCUCUGUUUUUAGUCAAUUCAUAGGGCAAUCCCUGCGUUUCAGAAAUUGUGAAAAGUUUAACUCUUUCCAAAACAUUGUGACGAAUACGGAUGAUAGAACAAAAUCGAAUCAACGAUAAAUUGCCAGAAGCCACUAGUUAGC